CUAAGUAUGUCAUUUUGGAGAAUAAAACUAGAAGAAGAAGAAGAAGAAGAAGAAGAAGAAGAAGAAGAAGAAGAAGAAGAAGAAGAAGAAGAAGACUAGAAGAAGAAGAAGAAGAAGAAGAAGAAGAAGAAGGAGAAGGAGAAGGAGAAGAAGAAGCUAGAAGAAGAAGAAGAAGGAUAAGGAGAAGAAGAAGGGGAAUAAGAAGGAGGAGGAGAAGAAGAAGG
rnacentral:lncRNA from 1 species